rnacentral:rRNA from 1 species
GAUGAACGCUAGCGGGAGGCCUAACACAUGCAAGCCGAGCGGUAUUGUUUCUUCGGAAAUGAGAGAGCGGCGUACGGGUGCGGAACACGUGUGCAACCUGCCUUUAUCUGGGGGAUAGCCUUUCGAAAGGAAGAUUAAUACUCCAUAAUAUAUUGAACGGCAUCGUUUGAUAUUGAAAGCUCCGGCGGAUAGAGAUGGGCACGCGCAAGAUUAGCUAGUUGGUGAGGUAACGGCUCACCACGGCAAUGAUCUUUAGGGGGCCUGAGAGGGUGAUCCCCCACACUGGUACGGAGACACGGACCAGACUCCUACGGGAGGCAGCAGUGAGGAAUAUUGGUCAAUGGGUGCAAGCCUGAACCAGCCAUCCCGCGUGAAGGACGACUGCCCUAUGGGUUGUAAACUUCUUUUGUAUAGGGAUAACCUACCCUCGUGAGGGUAGCUGAAGGUACUAUACGAAUAAGCACCGGCUAACUCCGUGCCAGCAGCCGCCGUAACAC